AUUGAACGCUGGCGGCAGGCCUAACACAUGCAAGUCGAGCGAGCGGCGGACGGGUGAGUAAUGUAUGGGGACUGCCCGAUAGAGGGGGCUAACUACUGGAAACGGUGGCUAAUACCGCAUACUAUCGGAUAACCCCUAUGGGAUUGGCUAGUAGGUUGGGUAAAGGCUCACCUAGGCGACGAUCUCUCGCUGGUCUGAGAGGAGGAUCAGCCAAACGGGAACUGAGAAACGGCCCAGACUCCUACGGAGGCAGCAGUGGGGAAUAUUGCACAAGGGGAGCAAGCCUGAUGCAGACAUGCCGCGUGUAUGAAGAAGGCCUGAGGGUUGUAAAGUACGUUCAGCGGGGAGGCGGAAAGCGAAGAAGAAGCACCGGCUAACUCCGUGCCAGCAGCCGCGGUAAUAG
rnacentral:rRNA from 1 species